UAAAACACUCGCUUUUCGAGAAUAUAGGUGCUUCGCAUUAAUUGCAUAUUAUAAUAUGUCUUAUCGAUCUUUAUUUUAUAUUUCCCAAAAUAAGCAAGUCCAAAACUACCCAACGCUAAGUUUAUCAAGUAUAGUUAACGUUGCGUAAAAUAUACUUAAAAUUGGAUGAAAAUUUCCUCCAGUGUUAUUGCAAACUACGGCGCCAUAAUUGUUUCGAUCUUUGACAAGGCAAGUUGGUUUCUGUAUAUUUUUCAGUUUUAAGGAUUAUUUUAAACACAAAAUUCGUGGACAACUCCUGUCUCGUCUCCUGAUAUUUUUGAUUGAUUGAUUUUUGGAUUCCGAUUUUGUUUGCUGUGUUUUUUUCUAGAUUUGGCUGAGCUUCCGGCAGGCUUAGCAGUGGUUGUGUGAUAGCCGUUCGAGCUUACAGCAGGAUCAGUGCUGUUUUGUAAUUGGAUCACCAGAUUUUCUUGAUUUGGCCGAGUGUCCGGCAGAUUUGGUGAAGCUUCCUGCCAGCUACAAUACGACCGUUCCGGUCAAUACCGGUAUUGUUCCUUGCCGUUGAGAGUAUUUUCAGUGGUAGCCGGAUUGCGCUUUCACCUCGCUUGAGGUGGUUUUUUCGGUUUUGGCUGAGCUUCCGGCAGGCGUAGAGUGGUUGUGCGACAGCCGUUCCAGUUGUUAACCACUUCCCUGGUUAACGUUGGCGGUGGAUUUCCUGGAUUUAACUGAGCCUCCGGUAGCUUUGGCUAAGCUUCCGUUCGGCUACAGUACAAUAAUCGUUCCGGGUUAGUGUUGUAAGAAUGAUGUUAUUUUAACAACAUUGGUUGAUUUUUAAUUCUAUGUUAAUUUUAGGUUUCUCUCUGCAGCAGCAGUUCCAUUUUCAUUUCGCUUGUCGCAGAUUUUCCGGAUUUGGCAGAGCUUCCAGCAGAUUUGGUUAAGCAUCCGGCUGGCAACAUAACAAUAGCCAUUCCAGUUGACAACUGUAGUUGGAUUACACUUCCACUUCACGGUGGAUUUUCCGGACUUGGCUUAACCUCUGACAGAUAACAUUGCAACCGUUCCAGUUGACAGUAUUUUCAGUUGUAGAAGGAUUUCGCUUUCACUUUACUUACGGUGAUUUUUCCGGAUUUGACUGAGCUCCUGGCAGGCGUUGCAGUGGAAGCAGCCAGUUGACAACAGUACCCGGUAAUUUUUACGCUUCCUCUUCCCUUGCGGCGGAUUUUCUGAAUUUGGCUGAGCCCCUUGCUGAUUUGGCUAAACCUCCGACCGUUCUAGUUGGCAGUAUCUUGUAAGUAUGAUGUUAUUUUAAUAACAUUGAUUGAUUUUAGGUUAUAUAUUAAAUUUCUCUCUGCAGCAUUGGUAGAAGGAUUGCGCAAAGCGCAUUUCACUUGCGGUGGUUUUUCGGUUUGUCUGAGCUUCCGAUUGGCGUACAGUCCAAUCAAACGUCAAACGGUUUCGAAUUGAUGAUAUCACGGAAUGGAACGGCUGCAAAAAAAAUUGGACGGCGGUUCCUAUGAAAAGCUCACUGGUAAGUGUGAU